GACGAACGCUGGCGGCGUGCCUAAUACAUGCAAGUCGAACGAAGCUGUUUUAACUGGUGCUUGCACCGACUUAAACAACUGAGUGGCGAACGGGUGAGUAACACGUGGGUAACCUGCCCCAAAGCGGGGGAUAACAUUUGGAAACAGAUGCUAAUACCGCAUAACCACAGAAACCACAUGGUUUCUGUGUCAAAGAUGGUUUCGGCUAUCACUUUGGGAUGGACCCGCGGCGUACUAGCUAGUUGGUAAGGUAAUGGCUUACCAAGGCAAUGAUACGUAGCCGAACUGAGAGGGUGAUCGGCCACAGUGGGACUGAGACACGGCCCAAACUCCUACGGGAAGCAGCAGUAGGGAAUCUUGCACAAUGGACGAAAGUCUGAUGGAGCAACGCCGCGUGAGUGAAGAAGGUUUUCGGAUCGUAAAACUCUGUUGUCAGAGAAGAACGUGUGCGAGAGUAACUGUUCGUGCAGUGACGGUAUCUGGCCAGAAAGCCACGGCUAACUACGUGCCAGCCGCCGCCGUAA
rnacentral:rRNA from 1 species